rnacentral:lncRNA from 1 species
GGGCGAGGCAGGAAGAGUACGUGGGGCCGAGGGGGGCGAGCGCUGGGCCGCCCGCAGCCGGAGAGUGUCGCCCCUCCUGAAGGCCCUGGGCAGGUGAAAUGAGGACCAGCGCUGACAAAGGGCAGGAUGCAGAAGACUCCUGACUUUGGAUCUCAGAUCACCCUCGGAAGCUCCGAUUCGGAUCCGCGUCCACAGACCCGGCGACCUCAGACAGACCGGGCGUCCGGGGAAGAGGCGGCGGCAGUGAGCACCGCAGUGAGGAAACCAGGCUCCGGCGAUCCCCAGGCCUUACGCCCGACCCCAGGGCAUUUGGGAGCAGGUCUGCGUCCGGGACCAGCACACUCUGGACGGGAGCUCUGCCUUUCUGGGGUCCUCCAGCUGAAGGAUGUGAGUUGCAAGAAACCCAUUCUGUAGACCUCGAAAUCAGCGGGGAGCCCCAGGCACUUGUGGGGGGACUUUGAUGUGGCUCCCACGCAUCCACCCGGCACCGCGUGGAUUGCCAGGGGCAGGACGAGCUUGAGUGGACGCUGGGUUCGCUGAGCCCCCCAGAGGCUCCUCGCCCUGGGUCACCUGUGCCGCCUUGGACCACCCAGAGAAACCUUUCCUCCCACCAGGUGAGCCGCAGGCCAGGCGCCAGGCCUGAGUGUGCCCGGGACGGGGAUUUCUCUGUGAACGGCCCAUCAUCCCAUAAUAUCCACGUUGUCUUAGCCUCAUGUUCUGAAGAAACACGAAUUUCAUACACAAGCGUGGAUUUUUGCAUGUUUUAAAUUGUAAAUGCGACUAACUCCAAGGAAGUUGGAACUUGAAGCAGGCUCAAAGCAAACUUAGUCGCGUCAUCCGCCACCAUCCUCCAGGGUAAACCGAGGAGCACAGUUAAUUGGUUUUCCACGGGUAUUUGCCACUUGUCAGAUGGGCUGUUAUGGACGUAACCACGUAAUUCCUGGAACCCAGUGAGAGUCAGCUUCCUUUACGGGCGUCUGACAAGAUGUGCUCAAACACCUUGAAGAUCUUUAUGGAAACAACUUUUGGCUCUUUAUCAAGAUGUCAUUCAGGGCUCUGAACAGUCGAAUACGUUGUGGAUGGGUUUGCUGUAGUUAUACAGUGUGCAUUUGAUACUUGUCAAUAGCGCUAGUAAUGUUAUUGCAAAAAUAAAACCUUCUUUAAAAAAGAGGCCGGGCGCGGUGGCUCACGCCUGUAAUCCCAGCACUUUGGGGAGGCUCAGGCAGGUGGAUCACGAGGUCAGGAGAUGGAGACCAUCCUGGCUAACAUGGCGAAACCCCGUCUCUAGUAAAAAUACAAAAAAUUAGCCGGGCGUGGUGGCGGGCGCCUGUAG